rnacentral:rRNA from 1 species
GAUGAACGCUGGCGGCGUGCCUAAUACAUGCAAGUCGAGCGAACGGACGAGAAGCUUGCUUCUCUGAUGUUAGCGGCGGACGGGUGAGUAACACGUGGAUAACCUACCUAUAAGACUGGGAUAACUUCGGGAAACCGGAGCUAAUACCGGAUAAUAUUUUGAACCGCAUGGUUCAAAAGUGAAAGACGGUCUUGCUGUCACUUAUAGAUGGAUCCGCGCUGCAUUAGCUAGUUGGUAAGGUAACGGCUUACCAAGGCAACGAUGCAUAGCCGACCUGAGAGGGUGAUCGGCCACACGGGAACAGAGACACGGUCCAGACUCCGACGGGAGGCAGCAGUAGGGAAUCUUCCGCAAUGGGCGAAAGCCUGACGGAGCAACGCCGCGGGAGUGAUGAAGGUCUUCGGAUCGUAAAACUCUGUUAUUAGGGAGGAACAUAUGUGUAAGUAACUGUGCACAUCUUGACGGUACCUAAUCAGAAAGCCACGGCUAACUACGUG